AGGGAAAUCACUCGUUUGGGAGGAUGAAAAUGAAUGUAUUGUUUCAGUUGUGGAGAGAACAUACAAAAUGAUAAAUUUUUAUUGGGGAUAUCGACUAUGGAGACAGAAUGUGUUGUAAUCAUGUUUACAAGAACCGGUUGCAGAUCAAAUCAUCAACAUAGUGUUUCUAAUCAGGUGUACGAGCAGAGGAAGAGAAAGACAUGAAGAAGGAACUAAUUAAGUAUUUGUUAAUUGUUUUAUGCAGCCAUGUCAUGUUGUCUUGUUUAGUUUCUUUUUUGUGGUGUUAAAGAAAAUAGUUGUCGAGUUUAUUAUAAGAAUCGGUUUCUCUUAUGCAGUAACGAAAAUUAUUAGAGAAGAAUUUGGGGGGGAAAAAACAGUUGUUUCAAACUCUUGGUAAUUGUUGUAUUCUCUCUCUUAAUGACUUAAUAUUAAUUGAUCCA